rnacentral:rRNA from 1 species
CAGUCGACGAGAGGACAUGGGAAGCUUGCUUCCUAUGAAAUCGAGUGGCAAACGGGUGAGUAACGCGUAAACAACCUGCCCUUCGGAUGGGGAUAACAGCCGGAAACGGCUGCUAAUACCGAAUACGAUCUUUUCGUCGCAUGACGGAAAGAAGAAAGGAUGGCCUCUAUACAAAGCUAUCGCCGAAGGAGGGGUUUGCGUCUGAUUAGCUGGUUGGAGGGGUAACGGCCCAACAAGGCGAUGAUCAGUAGCCGGUCUGAGAGGAUGAACGGCCACAUUGGGACUGAGACACGGCCCAGACUCCUACGGGAGGCAGCAGUGGGGAAUCUUCCGCAAUGGACGAAAGUCUGACGGAGCAACGCCGCGUGAGUGAAGAAGGUCUUCGGAUUGUAAAGCUCUGUUAUACGGGACGAAAAAGACGGAUGCCAACAGUAUCCGUCCGUGACGGUACCGUAAGAGAAAGCCACGGCUAACUACGUGCCAGCAGCCGCGGUAAUACGUAGGUGGCAAGCGUUGUCCGGAAUUAUUGGGCGUAAAGGGCGCGCAGGCGGUUCGGUAAGUCUGUCUUAAAAGUGCGGGGCUUAACCCCGUGAGGGGACGGAAACUGUCGAACUUGAGUGUCGGAGAGGAAAGCGGAAUUCCUAGUGUAGCGGUGAAAUGCGUAGAUAUUAGGAGGAACACCGGUGGCGAAAGCGGCUUUCUGGACGACAACUGACGCUGAGGCGCGAAAGCGUGGG